rnacentral:misc_RNA from 1 species
GAAAUGCGAUAAGUAAUGUGAAUUGCAGAAUUCAGUGAAUCAUCGAAUCUUUGAACGCACCUUGCGCUCCUUGGUAUUCCUUGAUCAUGCCUGUUUGAGUAUCAUGAAAUCUUCAAAGUAAAUCUUUUGUUAACUCAAUUGGUUUCUACUUUGGUAUUGGAGGUCUUUGCAGCUUCACACCUGCUCCUCUUUGUUCAUUAGCUGGAUCUCAGUGUUAUGCUUGGUUCCACUCGGCGUGAUAAGUUAUCUAUCGCUGAGGACACUGUAAAAGGUGGCCAAGGUAAAUGCAGAUGAACCGCUUCUAAUAGUCCAUUGACUUGGACAAUACUUUUAUGAUCUGAUCUCAAAUCAGGUAGGACUACCCGCUGAACUUAAGC